rnacentral:rRNA from 1 species
CCUGGCUCAGGAUGAACGCUGGCGGCGUGCUAAUACAUGCAAGUCGAACGAAUGAAGUCGAAUAGCUUGCUAUUGACCGAGUUAGUGGCGAACGGGUGAGUAAUACGUAGGCAACCUGCCCCAAAGCGGGGGAUAGCAGUUGGAAACGACUAUUAAUACCGCAUAGGUAAUCGGGAGGCAUCUCCUGACUAUUAAAGGUGCGUUUGCACCGCUGUGGGAUGGGCUUACGCUGUAUUAGCUUGUUGGUGAGGUAACGGCCCACCAAGGCGAUGAUACAUAGCCGGUCUGAGAGGAUGAACGGCCACAUUGGGACUGAGACACGGCCCAGACUCCUACGGGAGGCAGCAGUAAGGAAUUUUCGGCAAUGGACGAAAGUCUGACCGAGCAACGCCGCGUGAGUGAUGAAGGCCUUCGGGUCGUAAAGCUCUGUGGUAGAGGAAGAACAACACGGAUAGGAAAUGAUCCGUGUCUGACGGUACUCUUCUAGAAAGUCACGGCUUACUACGUGCCAGCAGCCGC